CCCCCUCUCUCCCUGGCCUGUCUCCCCCUGUCUGGUACAGGUACACCCACCACACUCACCCCUCUCUCCCUGGUCUGUCUCCCCUGUCUGGUAAGGGUACCCCCACCACACUCACCCCUCUCUCCCUGGUCUGUCUCCCCCUGUCUGGUACAGGUACCUCCACCACAUUCACCCCUCUCUCCCUGGCCUGUCUCCCCCUGUCUGGUACAGGUACCUCCACCACACUCCCCCUCUCUCCCUGGCCUGUCUCCCCCUGUCUGGUACAGGUACCUCCACCACACUCACCCCUCUCUCCCUGGUCUGUCUCCCCCUGUCUGGUACAGGUACCUCCACCACACUCACCCUCUCUCUGUUCACCGUCUGCCGUGGCCUCUCUCCCCCUGUCUGGUACAGGUACCCCACCUCACUCCCCUCUCUCUCCUGAG
ensembl:lncRNA